UACGUAGGGGACAAGCGUUGUCCGGAAUCAUUGGGCGUAAAGAGCGUGUAGGCGGCUCGAUAAGUCUGCUGUGAAAGUCCAGGGCUCAACCCUGGAAGGCCGGUGGAAACUGUCGGGCUAGAGUCCGGAAGAGGCGAGUGGAAUUCCCGGUGUAGCGGUGAAAUGCGCAGAUAUCGGGAAGAACACCCGUGGCGAAGGCGGCUCUCUGGGACGGUACUGACGCUGAGACGCGAAAGCGUGGGGAGCGAACAGG
rnacentral:rRNA from 1 species